rnacentral:rRNA from 1 species
GACGAACGCUGGCGGCGUGCUUAACACAUGCAAGUCGAACGGUGAAGCGCCUUCCUUUUUGGUGGGUGUGGAUGAGUGGCGAACGGGUGAGUAACACGUGAGUAACCUGCCCCCUUCUUCUGGAUAACCGCAUGAAAGUGUGGCUAAUACGGGAUAUUCUGGGUCUGUCGCAUGAUGGGUCUGGGAAAGAUAUUGUUUCGGUGGGGGAUGGGCUCGCGGCCUAUCAGCUUGUUGGUGGGGUGAUGGCCUACCAAGGCGGUGACGGGUAGCCGGCCUGAGAGGGUGGACGGUCACACUGGGACUGAGACACGGCCCAGACUCCUACGGGAGGCAGCAGUGGGGAAUAUUGCACAAUGGGCGCAAGCCUGAUGCAGCGACGCCGCGUGAGGGAUGGAGGCCUUCGGGUUGUGAACCUCUUUCGCCAGUGAAGCAGGCCUGCCUCGUUUGUGGGUGGGUUGACGGUAGCUGGAGAAGAAGCGCCGGCUAACUAUGUG